CCUACGGGUGGCAGCAGUGGGGAAUAUUGGACAAUGGGCGAAAGCCUGAUCCAGCCAUGCCGCGUGUGUGAAGAAGGCCUUCGGGUUGUAAAGCACUUUCAGUGGGGAAGAAAGCCUUGGGGCUAAUACCCUCGAGGAAGGACAUCACCCACAGAAGAAGCACCGGCUAACUCCGUGCCAGCAGCCGCGGUAAUACGGAGGGUGCGAGCGUUAAUCGGAAUUACUGGGCGUAAAGCGCGCGUAGGCGGUCUGAUAAGCCGGUUGUGAAAGCCCCGGGCUCAACCUGGGAACGGCAUCCGGAACUGCCAGGCUAGAGUGCAGGAGAGGAAGGUAGAAUUCCCGGUGUAGCGGUGAAAUGCGUAGAGAUCGGGAGGAAUACCAGUGGCGAAGGCGGCCUUCUGGACUGACACUGACGCUGAGGUGCGAAAGCGUGGGUAGCAAACAGGAUUAGAUACCCCAGUAGUC
rnacentral:rRNA from 1 species